rnacentral:rRNA from 1 species
CCUACGGGAGGCUGCAGUGAGGAAUAUUGGUCAAUGGGCGGGAGCCUGAACCAGCCAAGCCGCGUGAGGGAAGAAGGUACAGCGUAUCGUAAACCUCUUUUGUCAGGGAACAAAGGCGGGGACUAGUCCCCGGAUGAGGGUACCUGAAGAAAAAGCAUCGGCUAACUCCGUGCCAGCAGCCGCGGUAAUACGGAGGAUGCGAGCGUUAUCCGGAUUUAUGGGGUUUAAAGGGUGCGCAGGCGGCCUGUUAAGUCAGCGGUAAAAGCCCGGGGCUCAACCCCGGCGAGCCGUUGAAACUGGCGGGCUGGAGUUGGAGAGAAGUACGCGGAAUGCGCGGUGUAGCGGUGAAAUGCUUAGAGAUCGCGCAGAACCCCGAUUGCGAAGGCAGCGUACCGGCUCCACACUGACGCUGAGGCACGAAAGCGUGGGUAUCGAACAGGAUUAGAUACCCCGGUAGUC